UUGGGCACCAGUAAACCCUGACGGUUUAUGGCACAGAAUCAGGGGCAGUGUUGACAUCAGAGUCCAGGGUCUAGGCUCCCAGUUUAUUUCACUCUACACCAUAUGGGAGUAUACACCAUUCAUUUAAUCAUUCAUUCCAUCCAACCUUCUCUUGAGCACUAGGUCUCAUGCGUGUGACAGCUAGGGGACACGGGUGAAUGUGCCCACUCUGCACAGGAGAGAGGUGCCUGAUGAAGCGUAGGGCCACAGUUGCAGACAACUGGGUGCGGCCAACAUUUGUUCCCCUCUGAGGGUCCAGUAAUGGCCAAAACCCUCAGGCUCCCUUCCCCACGCCCCAGGCUGCGCUGGGCCCAGCCUCUGCUCUAGGUGUCCCCAGCCACACGCUGGGACUUCUGCUUGCUGCCAGGAGAGACCUGAAUCCCGCCGCCACCGUCGGAGGCGGGGUGGAGGGGGUGCUGGGGUUGCGGUUCGGGGUGUUAGAGCAGCCACUGGUGGUGGCCCCAGGUCUGACUCGCGCGGGCCGGCGAAGGCGGGCUCCCCCGCUCCCCCUGGCGGCCGUGAACGCCUGCGCGGGCCCAGGCUCCCACGCGAGUCGCCCAGAGCCUCCACUCUCCGUGCGCGGCCAGCCCCGUGCCUCCUGGCAUCUGUCUCUCGGGGUCAAGAGGGGAUUGGGAUCUGUGGGGACAGACCCUGCUUUACUCCUACGGGCCACCAUUCGAGCGUCAGCGGCGGACGGCGGCCCUUGGGACUGAAGGGGGCAGCAUCUCCACGCAGUCUGGGACUCGCGCCGGAAGGUGGCUUUCCUAGGGGCCUCCCGGCGUGCGGGCCUCCGCUAGAUUCCCCACCACUCAAGAGCCGGGUUUUAUUUUGUUUCGGAAAUACUUCAGGACCUUCUGUUACUUUUAUUUAUUUAGGGAAGAGUUUUAAGAAUGUUACAAAAGUAACUUAGGCUCUUGGAACAGACCAAGCAACCAAACAUAAAGACAGUAUUAAUGGUGUAGCCAUUCCUCAAAAAGUUCAACAUAGAAUUACUACAUGACCCAGCUCUGAGUCAUAUAACCCAGAAGACUUCCACUUCUGGGCAUAUACUCAAAAGAAGUGAAAACAAGUUUCAAGAAGAUACUUGCACACCCACGUUUACAGCAGCGCUCUCCACAAUAACCAAAGGUGGACUCAUCCCUGGACACUCGCAUGGAUAUACCAAAUGUAGAAUAUACCACAGUGGACUAUUUAUCCAGCCUUAAAAAGAGAGAAAAUUUGGACACAUGCUACAACACGAAUGGAUGACCUUUGAGGACAUUAUGCUCUGUGAAAAAAAAACAGACACCAGACACAAAAAGACAAAUGUUGCAUGAUUCCACUUACAUGAACUAUCCAGAAUGGGCAACUUCAUUGGGACAGAAACUAGACUAGAGGCUACUAGGUUCUGGGUGGGGGCACCGGAGAGUUAUUGCUUAAUGGCCACAGAGUUUCUCCUUGGAGUGUUGAAAUUUCUUGAAAAUAGUGGUGAUGGCCGCAGAGUAUUGUGAGUAAUUUGUGUCACUGAAGGCUACAACUUUGAGUUUACCUCUCUUCGUCCCCAAGGCCAGGGGCAUUGGAGUAACUUAACAGGAGUCUGGAGUCAUGUAAAUGGAAGGGGCAGGAUUUGAGCAAGAUCAGUGUGGGCAGCUUCCCUCCAAGAGGCCAGCAGCUGUAGUGAAGUGCUUCUCAGGGCCUCACACCUCCCUUGGAGUGCCAUUUGCGGUUCCGUCACUAAAGAGAAAGGACCCCCUGAAAGUGAGAGGAGGAAGAGGUAGGAGACCGAUUUUCUCAUGGCUGAACCUUCUGUCAACGUUUUCGGGAAGAGCAGGGCACUGUUAAUUCCCAGGAAGGUGGUGAGGCCAGAAUAGUACAAGACACGACAGGAUGAACUUCUGGAGCUCUGGCAGAACCAGGUUUGGAACACAUCCCCUGGGAGGGGCUGGCGGAACAUACCGGAAUAAUCCAAAGUAAUUACACUCGUCUCAACCACGUACAUCAGGCAGGUGCCUGACCUUGAGCAAGCUCCCCCCACUUUUUUUUUCUUUAAGUCUCACAUUCCUGGGGUGGAGAACGGAGACAUUAUCCGUACCUCGCAGCGUCCUUGUGAAGGUAAAACGAGACUGCGUCUAUCAAGUGCCUGGCAAAGCAUCUAGGAUACAGUAGGUGCUUAAUAAAUAUCAGUGUAGCAGGAUGCUAGCUGAAAGAUUGCGAAGUUCUGGUUUCUUAGUUUUGUGGGUGUUUAAGUCAUUCUGUUCUUCCUUGAGGGUGGAGGCCAAGUGGGCUUAUGGCUGAUUAGGAGACGAGGAACGGUGUUUUUCUCCUUCCAGGAAGAGAACUUUACUAUUCUUAAGAUCUUGACCUCCUUUACAUCCAGAAAACCUUUGUAGUUUUAAGGCUGAUGGCCUGUCAUGGCACAAAGAAGCAGAAUGGAUGUGUUCCAUUUUGGAGGCUUGAAAAGGGCCCAGUGGCCUGAGCCUGCCAGUUAGCCCCCAGGGGCUGGGAAUAACAAGCGGAGUGACAUUGAAAGUAAAUUGUUCUGCUUAAAGUGUUGAAUCUUAACAUCUUUUCCUGUGGCUCCAGAACUCUCUUUUUCUAUCAGGCUUUGUGGCUUUUAUACAGGAACCAGAAUUGAGGGCCAGGCCACACCCUGGACAGUCCUGGCCACGUCCUAGCCACUGACCCAUUAGUGAUGGGAAUUAUCUGUGGAUUGUCUUUUUCGGGGAGAUGGGGUGUGAUCAAU